rnacentral:piRNA from 1 species
UAGAUGCAGAAGAAGUGCUGCCGCCCUGUGU